GGGCAGGUGGCGGAACUGGUAGACGCGCUGGACUUAGGAUCCAGUGCUGCAAAGCGUGAGGGUUCGAUUCCCUCCCUGCCCA
rnacentral:tRNA from 1 species